GAUUUGUUUUAAUCAUACUAGAAAAUGAUUUGACGAUACAGAGAUGAUUAACAUGGCCCCUACCUGAUGAUGACACACAAGUUCAUGAAGCAUUUCACACUUUU
rfam:Gorilla gorilla gorilla genomic chromosome, chr3, whole genome shotgun sequence